rnacentral:rRNA from 1 species
CCUACGGGAGGUAGCAGUGGGGAAUAUUGCGCAAUGGGCGAAAGCCUGACGCAGCGACGCCGCGUGAGGGAUGAAGGUCUUCGGAUCGUAAACCUCUGUCAGCAGGGAAGAACGGUCACUGUGCUAAUCAGCAGUGAAUUGACGGUACCUGCAAAGGAAGCACCGGCUAACUCCGUGCCAGCAGCCGCGGUAUUACGGAGGGUGCGAGCGUUAAUCGGAAUUACUGGGCGUAAAGCGCUCGUAGGCGGUAUGUCAAGUCAAGGGUGAAAUCCCCGCGCUCAACGUGGGAACUGCCUUUGAAACUGGCAAACUGGGGGGGGUGAGAGGAUAGUGGAAUUCCAGGGGUAGGAGUGAAAUCCGGAGAUAUCUGGAGGAACAUCAGUGGCGAAGGGGGCUAUCUGGCACAUAACUGACGCUGAGGAGCGAAAGCGUGGGUAGCAAACAGGAUUAGAUACCCCUGGUAGUC